UGCUAAUCCUUCUUCCAUUCUUCAUCUUCUUAUUAUUUCUUCUCUUUUUCCUUUUUCCGUCCCAUAUUACAGACGUUAUAUUCGAGGUAAACCUUCGAUUUCACUGUAAAUUUUCUUCUUUUUUUUUUCUUAAAAAAAUUGAAUCCAUGGGUUUUCUGGUAGAAAUCAAAAUGGUGUAGAGCUUUUGCCGUUACUGAGAUAAUUAGUGGGAAAAAGAUCAGAUAUUUCCCAUUUUUUCUGUCUAAUAUUUUUCUUAAAUAAUAACAAAUCAUUUUUCUUGGUUUUCUCUUCGUAUAAAGAUGGAAUUACUAAUUGAACAAAACUGUGAACUUCUAGUUUAAUUCAUUAUUGGAAUUUGAAAAUUAUCCAGGAUUAUGUAUAUAAAGCUUUUAAAUUUUAUUAAUUGUUUUUCAUUUCAAAUUAGCUGGAUUUGAAUUCAUAAUUUACAAAAAUAUCUUUUUUUGUGCCGGUAUUAGUCACUCUUAGCUUGGUUUCAUUAUCUUCAUUGUUGCGUACAUAGUCUCUAUUAGCUUUUGUAUUUAAUUUGUUUGUCUACUUCCCACUAAAACCCAAGCUUUUUCUGGCGUCUAUUGCGUUGGUUUGGGUUUUAUGCCUUUCUUUGUUUCUUUAUUUUUAAUUUUUUUCUGAGUUUGGGAUUAAAAUAUGAAAAUGAUAAUCUAAAUGAUGAAAAUGAUAAUCUAAAUGAUGAAAAUGAUAAUUAUUUUUAACUCAAGAUAAGGGUAAAGUUAGAUACAUGAAGAGGCAAAUCAUUGCAAAAUGAUGCAUUAUUUGGAAGUGGAAAGGGAUAUGCUUAAAAAUGAUACUUAGAGCAUAAAUUUCUCACCAUAGGUUGAUUUAACAAUGCCCAAUUUGCACCACAUAUAACAACAUUUAUUUUUGUUUUCUGCUAAUCUGUAGUCCAACUUUGUUUUAGAAGCAUUUGGUAAUGCUAAGACUGUUAGGAACAAUAACUCAAGGUGAGUGUAUUUUGUUUUAACAAAUUUUACACCCUGCAUGUAGUAGAUUCUAUGUUAUAAUCGUUUUUUUUUUCACCUUUACAUGCAUGUUUUGAAUGAUGUAACCGUUUUGGUAAGUUUGUGGAGAUUCAAUUUGACCGGAGGGGAAGGAUUUCAAGAGCUGCCAUCAUGACUUAUUUAUUAGAAAGAUCACGUGUUUGUCAAGUGUUUAAUCCUGAGAGAAAUUAUCACUGUUUAUACAUGCUUUGUGCAACACCACCAGAACUUAUUGGAGAUGAAGAAUCAACCAAAAUAAGUUAGGUCAGCUUCCACAACUAAGCAUUUCACAAGUAUGAAAACUUGAAGGUGGUCUGUCAAUGGGUUAGGCCUCUACACAAAUAUGAAAACUGGAGAGCAGACAUUCUAUAUCAAAUACAAUACAAUCAGGUCGGACAUCAACUGUAAGCUCUUCAGUGAAGUUGAAAUCACAAAAUAAGAAACGCCAAACUGGUAGAGAUCCUAUAAUCACACAAGAAUCAGUUGCAAAUUAGAAGCAAGCGAAGAGCUUUGGUAUAUUGUUAGUUUGAUAUUGAAUAUUGGAUUUGGUUGGUAUUAGUACAGAGUUUGUGCUGCUAUAUCCACUGUUUUGUUUUUGGUAAAUGCAAUAUUUUGGUGUUGGUUGAUAUUGCUAUAGGCACUUUGUUAUUGUUGGGUUCUUUUUGCUUGUGCAAAUGCUGGAUGGGUUGAUAAAGGCCUACAAUAUUUCCACUCAAUAAAGGACAUACAAGGAUUAAUCUA